rnacentral:rRNA from 1 species
GACAGAGGGUGCAAACGUUGCUCGGAAUCACUGGGCGUAAAGGGCGUGUGGGCGGGCAGGUAAGUCGGGCGUGAAAUCCCUGAGCUCAACUCAGGAACUGCACUCGAAACUACUUGUCUUGAGUACCGGAGAGGAAAGCGGAAUACCUGGUGUAGAGGUGAAAUUCGUAGAUAUCAGGUGGAACACCAGUGGCGAAGGCGGCUUUCUGGACGGUAACUGACGCUGAGACGCGAAAGCGUGGGGAGCAAACAGG